CGUGACGUCAUCCGUCAGCGCCGGUCUCGCGUGACACGUGCCCAGUGUCUGUCUGUGGUCAUGUCGGGAACCGCCCCCUCGCUAGCGCAUCGGUGUCUCUUAGUCGGUCCCGCGCGCGUUUGCUGCGGCUGGGGCCGGCAAUCCCCGGCAGGAGCCAACAAUGCCGAGAAAAAGAUGUGCAAGACCCACAAAAUUACCGUCUUCAGAAAAGAAAACCAGGAGACAAAUUAUUGAUAAAAGAGUGGCGUACACAAGGAUAUACUUGGGGAAUCAAAUUGGCCGAUGGCUGACCUUAAGGGAAAAACUGGAUUUCAAAAGUGACACAGACCUUGCAGGAUUUUUGCUGGAUCUCUAUGACAAUGAAGAUCCAUUACUUAAAGAAGCAGUAGUCUCCUUACCUGAAGAUACGAGAAUUGUAACUGCGAAAGAAAAAAGAGAUUUACAUGAUGACUCCUCUUCAGCAGAGAUUGUUGGAAUAUGUGACAGUGAGGACCAACUGACUGCAGAAUCAGCCUGUUCUUUACCACAAAGUAGGGGAAUCAGAACUGUGAAAGAAGAGAGGCAAUUGCAGGAUGACUCCUCUUCAGUACAGAGUGAUGAAAAAUAAGUCAGCAUUCAUACAAUGAGGUUUCCUGGUAUUCAGGUGAAGAUUCUACUAUUGGCUCUGAAUCUGACCUUUCAGAAAGCGCUUCUCCGCGAUGAGCCUCCACGUCCUGCCGGCGGGCUGCCCGGGGUCCGCGCGGCCCGCAGAGAAGCUUGGUCAGCGGCUGCUGCUCGCCUGAAAUGCGAGACGCUUACAAUGUCGUUGCCAGCAAAGAGGUGUGGUAGACCUCCUGUACUGUCCUGCUUGGAAAAGAAAAAGAGGAAACAAAGUCUCGAUAGAAGAAGAGGAAAAACAAGAAUCUAUGUGGGAAACCAUAUUGAUAGAUGGUUGACACUUAAGGAAAAAUUGGAUUUCAGAAAUGAUGCAGAAGUUGCAGGAUUUUUACUAGAUUUAUAUGACAACUAUGACCCAUUGUCAAAAGUAUCAAUCUGUUCUCUGCCUGAAGAUGUGAGAAGAAUUACAGUGAAAGGGGAAAGCGAGUUGCCAGAUGACACUUCUUUAAUAGCAGCGGAUGGAACGUAUGACAAUGAUGACCAGUUGUCUAAAGAAUCUACUUGUUCUGGACCCGAAGAUGUGAGAAUCAUAACUGUGAAAGAAGAGCGGGAUUUGCCUGAUGGCUGUUCAACAGAGACCGAUGACACUGCCGUGUUCCUCGAGGCAACAACACCAUCAGUCGACUCUACUGAUUUCUUUUACUGCAAUACCAACAGUAACUGAGGCAUUCACAGUUGAGAUCAAAGGAGCCUCAAAUAGGUAUGCUUGUCCAUUACUCUUUCUUUAGGUUUCAAUUAUCCACAACAGUGUUACUGAAUAGUUUAAUUUGGUCCAUAUUUUAGUUAUCUAACUUUCUUUAAAAAUGUAUUUUUAAUGUGUGCAGGGGACACUGAGAGCCUAGGACAUUACAAUGGCAUUGCAUGGUGUGUCCAAAGCCCCCGCUAAUAUGGUGAAGUACGUAAGGCAUGAAGCAUGUGUUUGCAUGAAUCUUAUUUUCCACUAUUCUUUUUUGUAACUUUGUUAACUUUUCCUACUUUGCUUUUGACAGAUUAACAAACUAGAGUUUCUGAAAGUGAUUCCUCUUGUGAUUCAGAAGAAUGUUGUUUGGAAAAACGGAGCAAAUUACAAAAUCGAUGAAGCGGAUAAAUUCAAGUACAUUCAAGCUGGCAUCUUAUUCUGGCAACAGAACUUAAAUUUGGUUUAGAAAGCAGCAAGGAUCUGAGAUUGACUUUGUGAGACUGAUAUAUCAUGGGCUGGCCAACAAGAAGAAUAUCAAGCAUUUACAUAAUGGUGCUGAGACAUUUUUGAUCUCUUCUGGUUUUGCUGUGAGGAUCUUAUUUAUUAUGGAGACCUUAUUAGCAUGAAUGAAAGAGAGUAAGCAUGCACAAGUCUUGCACCAGCAUGCACAAGACCUUAUAUGGUAUGUCUACACUGCAACGUAAGCCCCUGCUCAAGCCGAACUCCCCCUUGCGUCUGUACUACAAUUGUGCUAACCCAGGGUUCAAACCCAGGGUCCCAGGACCCUGCAGGGCUAGAGGGUCCAAGUUAAAGUCAAUCUAAGAUCCAGGGUCCCAGCCCUAUUGCUUUGCAGCAUAGAUGCAGCCCCACUUUACUAAGGUCCUGGGAGUCUGCCAGAAGUAUCCCACAAUUCCAUGGGACAAUUUCCUUAGUCCUCUCUUAGUUCCAACAAUCUGCAACCCACUUUAUUGAAAAUGGAAGCCAUACCCCUUGGUGAAUGGCAGCAACACAGAUAAUCGUAAACCCAUUCUCUUCUGAUCACCAGACUGAAAGCACAGUAUCAGAGAACCUCCUGGGUUUGCAAUGGAAAGUAAGCCAUCAAGCUUUUUUCAAAGUGAGCUGCUUCAUGGUCAUGGGAGGACAGCCAAAUUUUGGUGAAUUUCUGAUGUGAAGCAAGUAAAACUGUGGACUUCAGCAGAAGCACCAAAAAUGACCACACAUACUAGCAGAUAGCUAAAAAGUUGGCAGGUCUGGAGAUUGUCCGGACAGGUGAUCAGUGCAGGGAGCAUAUUAAGAAGCCGAAGAGCAAGUAGCAGAAGACCAGGGAUAAGAACCACACCUCGGGCAACUGGUCAACAACAUGCCCACUUUAUGAUGACUUUUACAAGGUUUUGGGCACUGUACCCAACACAGACCCAACUGUAUUUCAUGAAGAUCUGGUCAGCGAGGUUGUACCCUCUUGGUCCCUGAAUUCAGCAUGGGGACUGAUGGGAGCCAGCACUAGGCUCCCAGUAAGGAGCAUGAAGUUCCCUUUUAAUGAAAUCAUUCCUAGAGCAGGCUGCGGAUCAGGAUCAAUAACAAAUUCUUGGUCCCUACUUAGAAGAACUGUUUGGUUUCCCCCCCCCCCCCCACCCUCAAGGAACAGCUCGCUGCCGAGUCUGCAGAAAACCUGGUGGAGAGAGAAGCCACCCCAGAGCCCAGUAAGUGUAUGACCGAAAUUUACAGUUUAUUAUUACAGUAAUGGGAGGGAUUUCUGCUGUAAGAAGCAAUGCAAAAAUGAUGAGCCCCAGCUAGCAGUGUGCGGCCACCAAUGGCAGAUUGUAUCACAGUGCCUUGGUGUCACCACUUCCCCCACUAAGUGGAGUUCAAAAUGGCAACUUGGAAUUUCAAACAUUCAUAAACGGUUGUUAUUUUAACUGUUAAGUCACAGAUGUUUGCUAGGGUCAUUCAUAUUUUCCUUUCAGUAAUAAAUUUGUCACUGUAUUAUCAUUCCUCUGGGGUCCCUGGAGCAGCCUGUCAACAGUGAACUGAGUGUGUUGUAUUUGGGAAACAGCAUUCUAUUUCCAAAUUUAGUUCAUUUCAGUUAGAGGUAAUCCAUGCAGUCUGUGGAUCACAAAAUCAUUUCUCCAAAGUAUGAGUGGGGUGUCAGUUUUUUCCCCCAGAACUAUGCCAGGUGAUGGGUGGAGGAAAGCUGCAGAUUUCAGAAUGUUCGUGUUUAGCAAUAAUAGAGUAAACCACAUGUGAGCUAACACAGCGUCAUGUUAAUUCCCUCAUGGCUUAUGACCCAAUCUUGGCUGCUGAUAGCUGCAAACUUUUCCUGAAGCAGGACUCCAGAUAGUCAAUCACAUUGCAGGGAAGGGGGUAUUUUCUAGGCCCCUCCCUCUGUAUAGCUGACUAGUCCGCUCCACUAACAGAUUUGCUGUUUGGUCACUAUAUGUUUGAAUACUUCAGCUGCAUAAACUGCAGGUUUCCCUCCAGCCGCUUGGAGUAACAUCUCCCUCUGCCAAUAGGGUACCACAAGAACAGUUGUCUUUCGCAAUAUAGAAGGCCUGAAAUGACAGAAAAAGCCUUUUGCAGCAAAGGCACUAUAGACACCAGCCCUCCAUCCCCCAUGGAAAUUAGGAAAAUUUUAUGAAACACAAAAAAGGGUUAUAAUUUUAAACUUACCAUUGUUUCUGCACUUCUAUGAUUGUGAUUAACAAGGCUGUAUCCAGAGAGAGUCUGAGGACUGAAGCAUCCCCUUUACAUUAUAUGUUGGUUCACUUUAGAAAUGUUACAUUUUGUCCUUGAGAUUCCACAAAAAUUAAUUCUGUGCUCUAGCUUAGACAGUUAUCCUCUUUCAUGUCCUAUUUCAGGACCCUCAACCUAUGUACCCCCGCUCUUCUUCAGGAACUUGAUCCCUGGCUCAACGUACCUUCAUGUUUCAAAAGGAAUUGUUUUCAUGAUGAAGUUAUGGUUGAUGUUCUUGAGAGGGCAGACCAGCAAGUCCAGUACCAGAAGAAGAGUGACAAAAGACUGGAACUAUGGCAUGAUGACAGGCAGGAGGACAGGCUGAGGUUUGCUGUUCAGGUGGAGGACAGGUUUCAACUAGGGAGCAGGCAGUUGCAAAGCAGUGCCUGGCAUAGGAAGGCUAAGGGAGGAGGACAGAGCUCAACAGAGAGAACUAUUUCAGCAACUCCUGUCCAUAAUGGCUGCAAGAGUACCCUCUCCAGGUGCCUCUCCAACUCCAUGGCAUGAUGUUCCUGCAACAUACCCUCAGUCCAGCAGUAACUUAGAUAAUUUUGUUUUGGGGUGGCCUAUGCAUUCAGGACUCAUGAAUGGCUGGGCAACUAAAACCUGUGCAGCCUUCCUUCAUCAAUCCCCCCCUGCCACCUUCAACCCCUGUCUGGUGGAAAUAUCCCCCCCUCACCACCACCACAGAGUGAGGGGAAAAUGUAAAGAAGGAACAGGAGAAUAUUGGGCCAGGGAACAUGUAGCGAUAGGGGGAUUAUGUCAUGUAUUAACUAUUUCCUGCCCUUUUGGAUGUGUGGUUUUGUAAUGGCAGCUGGCCUGCCCAACGCUGUGUGAACGUUUUACUAUUUUAGAACAUGUUUACAAAUAAAGCCUGUUAUAUUUUCGAGAA